UCAGAACGAUGUGCAGAAAUUAUGAGUCAACCAUGCCAGCUCAAGGUCAAGGUCACAACUAAGGGUCGAAGGUUUGAGCCUUCCAUUUUUUGUCCACUCUGUAUCUCCUUAACCCCUUGAAGGAUUUUCAUCAAACUUGAGUCAAAUGAUCACCUCAUCAAGAACUCAUGAGUCAGCCAUGUCAACUCAAGGUCAAGGUCACAACUGAAGGUCAAAGGUUUCAGCUCUGUAUCUCCUAAACCCCUUGAAGGAUUUUCAUGAAACUUUGGUCAAAUGAUCACCUCAUCAAGAUGUUGUGUAGAAUUCAUGAGUCAGCCAUGUCAGUUCAAGGUCAAGGUCACAGCUAAAAUCAAAGGUUUACCCUUUCACUAUCUAUAGCAGUGGCGGGGGAUUUAGCUGUCUUUCAGACUGCCUUGUUCAGUAUAAUAUUGGUUUUGCAUCUGAUGAAGCUUGGCUAGCUUUCAUUUUUGCUAAGUUUUCUUUUUAUUAGUCAUCUUUGCAGUCUUUGUUCCGGUGAAGGUUAAAAAGUAGGAAGCUGAAAUGAUAGCAGUGCAUGAUGUAGUGCCAGUAGAUUUAAGAUAGUCAUGAGUUUGCUACACCUUGGAGAUUUUUUAUGCAUUCAGUUUUGUUAUGGUCUUUUAGAUUUAGCAGUAAAUUAUUAUAGCUAACUUUGGUAAAUAAAUUUCUUAUAUGAUAGGUUUCCAUUGGUGCUGUUUUCUGGCUGUGGCCAAGUUUUUUUUCCCUUUUUUACUGAUGUCGAGGCCUGACAGAUCCCUUUACUGUUGAUCCACACAGCUAUCGAUGCCAUUUAGGAUCCCAGUGACAAUAUAUCCGCAGCGUGGAGUCGUGUUGGAGAUACUGGUCUACAAUAUUUGGCCGGCAGUGUUUAGAUGAUGGUUUCUCCAGUGUUGAGAGAGAUGGGAAUCGGAAAUUGUCAGGUUCUUUUCGCCUUCCAUUUUCAGCAUUUGCUUCUUUUCCAUAUUUUAAGGUCUGUCUCACAGUCUGUGAUAAAUUCUUUGAUCCUUUUGACUGCCAAUCAAGACUACUAACGGUACCAUUGAAGGAUUCUGGUGACAAUAUAUCCGCAAAAUGGGGUCGUUUAGGAGUAACAGAUCUACAUUUCUGGGCCAGCGGUUUGCUAGACGACUGUUGUUCCUGUGUUGAGAGAGGUGGAAUCAAGGAUUUUCAAGAUUUGUCUCUGUACUAGGUCUUAAUCUGCCAGCAAUUGCUGAUAUCUGUUUAACUUGUUUGCAAUAUAGACUGGACAGAACUUCUUUUUCAAGGACUUUCCAAAAUGUAUUUUUCCUUACCAGAAUAGGCAAAAUAUGACAGAAUAGUUUUGUAAGCCAUCUGAAUUUUUACCAAGUACUGUCUAAUAUUUUUUCAAUUUUUUUUGUAUUCAAUCUAAUUUCUUUUAAGACAUGUUAUAAAGUAAGCACUUAUAAGUUUAUUGGACAUGAUAAGGCCUUGGUGUAGCUGCUCAUGCAGAAUAAGUUCACAUGCACUUUCAUAAUUUUAAAAAUACUUAUUACCAAGGGUUAAGUUUUGUUACACUCUCCGCUUGAAUAUAAUUCUUUAUACCGACAUUAGGUCAAAUAGUUUAGAUCAAUGAAAUGGUCAAAAUUGUGACAGUUAAUAGCAUCUGUUCAAUAACUAAAAGAAUUUUCUUUGAAGUAAGCCAGUAUCACAGUAGAAAUUAUUUAAACUUCUGUUUCUUUAUUUAAUAGCCAGUUCCUAACAGUAUCUCUAUUAAAUUUUGCCGGUUCUGUGAAAUUUGAUAUUUUCUCUAUUUAAAUAUAAAACUUUUGACAGUAUCUCUUGAUAACUUGAUAUCUACUAGAUUUGAAUAUUUUAGGCCAUGUUUCUUCCAUUCUUUUGGCAGCUUUUUCUUUCUUUUUAUUGAUAAUUUCAGGAUGAGAGUGGUUGUAUUCUAAUUGCUGUAUAAGCAUGAAAUCUCCUGGUCUUGUGCGGAAGACAUCUAUGAAUCGAUCAACCAGAUGUAUACCUCUAAUUUAAAAUGCUGAGUAAUUACACGCUGAUGUUAUGGGCUCAGUUUAUACGCCAUGAGAAGAUAUCGAAGAAUCCCGUGUUCCAAGCUAUCCUACCUCAGCUUAUAGAAUCUGCCUCAAAAACAUUACUCAAAGCUGACAAGUCUAUGAUUGGUGAUCUACACCUUCUUCAUAACCCAAGUUUUUUCUGAUGUCUGCCAUCAUUCCAGUUGACUCUCACAGUGGUGAACUUUAUAACAGCUGUCAGAAUGGGAACCAGAACAAUUACCUCGGUGAAAGCCAAAACAUUUUCAUUGUUCAACAAACCAAUGCAAAUCAUGUGACACUUGCUGAGAGUGCAUGUUCAUUCAGCAGGCAGUUGGUAAAGGACCAAAAAAACGAGCACAAAGCAAGGAAGGAAGGCUUGAGAGCAGAGACUUUCAUUAUUUCCAUGCAUGGAAACUGAAAUGAUGACGGUCCUUGUGUAGAGAUCUAGACACUUUGUUCCCAAGGUGAUGUGAAAUGGUGCGAAGUGUUGUGUAUGUCUUCUGCCUUCACUCUACUACAUGGAUCUUCAGUAUCUUCAAUUAGUACCGGAACUGUGAUGACACUGAGGAAAUAUUCUACAAUCUUCACCAUGGUUAUGGUUGAAUAGGGAUUCCCACAUAGCAAUUGCUGUGCAGUGUAAUGCCAGCAUGUAUGUUUUUCUAAGCAAGCCACAGUGUGUCAAGGUGGAAGCUGUGCAUCUGGACAGGUUUCCAUUGGUGCUGUUUUCUGGCUGUGGCCAAGUUUUUUUUCAUUUUUUUUACUGAUGUUGAGGCCUGACAGAUCCCUUUACUGUUGAUCCACACAGCUAUCGAUGCCAUUUAGGAUCUCGGUGACAAUAUAUCCACAGCGUGGAGUCGUGUUGAAGAUACUGGUCUACAAUAUUUGGCCGGCAGUGUUUAGAUGAUGGUUUCUCCAGUGUUGAGAGAGAUGGGAAUCGGAAAUUGUCAGGAUGAGAGUGGUUGUAUUCCAAUGGCUGUAAGCAUGAAAUCACCUGGCCUUGUGCGGAAGACAUCUAUGAAUCGAUCAACCAGAUGUAUACCUCUAAUUUAAACUCCUGAAAAUCCCCAUGGUUGUGGGCGGUGCAGACAGAAUGUGAGCCAGGAAGUACAUCUGUAAAAGCCCAGACAUUCCAUCUUCAGGAGUAUCUUCAUUCUUCAAGUCUGUACAAGAGAUCUAUAUGAGGAUGAUAGCCAAGAAAUACAGCAUUCAGCACAUCAUAUCAAUCCAACUGAAGGACAAAGUAUCCAUUGAUGUAGUUGCAUCUUAGCUAAGAAGUUAACUUGGAUCUGCUUCACAGGGAGUCAUUGAUGAUCAACUAAGUAGUAGGAUACAGUUUUCUGAUCAGAUGAAAUCACUUUAUCUUAUCUGGCUGGAAUUUAAAGAGCUGAGACUACCAUCAGGAAAAUCUACCAUGUAAUAACACUAAACCAGAACAUUGCUACUGAGUCUACUACACAGUAACGCUGACUAGGAAAUUGCUAUUGAGUCUGCCACACAGUAAUGCUGACUAGGAAAUGGCUAUCGAGUCUGCCACACAGUAAUGCUGACUAGGAAAUGGCUAUCGAGUCUGCCACACAGUAAUGCUGAGUAGGAAAUGGCUAUCGAGUCUGCCACACAGUAAUGCUGACUAGGAAAUGGCUAUUGAGUCUGCCACACAGUAAUGCUGACUAGAAAAUUGCUAUUGAGUCUAUCACACAGUAAUGCUGACUAGGAAAUGGCUAUUGAGUCUGCCACACAGUAAUGCUGACUAGGAAAUGGCUAUUGAGUCUACCACACAGUAACACAAACCCAGAGCAUUGCUACUGAGUCUACCACACAGUAACACUGACCCAGAAUGUUGCUAUGGAGUCUACCACACAGUAAUGUGGACACGGACAUUGCUAUUGAGUUUCCAUGCAGUAACACUGACUUGAGUAGUCCACACAGGAAAAACACACAGUAACAUUGACUUAGGAUGUUGCUACCGAGUAUUCCACACUGUAAUACUGACCCCAAAGUGUAGCUUUUCUAUGGAAAAUUCAGACAGAUAACUGAAGUUACCUGUCAAUAGGUGCAAUAAAAUCGUUAUUAUCCGUUUAUGUUAACACUCCUGAUACUGAAGGCUGGACUCUGCAGAACACUGGAAAAAAAGCGAAGAUAAACAUGCAUCUCGCUGUGUGACAUUAGUGCAA